ncrna:Marinobacter sp. ELB17 HNH endonuclease-associated RNA and ORF (HEARO) RNA
GUCAACUACCCCGCCCUAAAGGACGGAGCUUGUAGAGAACACCCUGCAAGCCAGGUUGACCAGGGAAAGCGGACACCAACCCGCUACGUCCGUGACAGGUCGCUAAGACCCACCGCCGAAUGCUUCCUCAGUUCGGCGCUCUGGAAGACUCAGAUGAAAGGUAAAACGCCGAAGGUUUAGGUCGCUGCGACAUCGCAGGAGCCGGUCACGGACAUUCCCGAGGGGAGA